rnacentral:rRNA from 1 species
AUACGUAGGGCGCAAGCGUUAUCCGGAAUUAUUGGGCGUAAAGGGCUCGUAGGCGGUUCGUCGCGUCCGGUGUGAAAGUCAUCGCUCAACGGUGGAUCUGCGCCGGGUACGGGCGGGCUGGAGUGCGGUAGGGGAGACUGGAAUUCCCGGUGUAACGGUGGAAUGUGUAGAUAUCGGGAAGAACACCAAUGGCGAAGGCAGGUCUCUGGGCCGUUACUGACGCUGAGGAGCGAAAGCGUGGGGAGCGAACAGGAUUAGAUACCCUGGUAGUCCACGCCGUAAACGGUGGAUGCUGGAUGUGGGGCCCGUUCCACGGGUUCCGUGUCGGAGCUAACGCGUUAAGCAUCCCGCCUGGGGAGUACGGCCGCAAGGCUAAAACUCAAAGAAAUUGACGGGGGCCCGCACAAGCGGCGGAGCAUGCGGAUUAAUUCGAUGCAACGCGAAGAACCUUACCUGGGCUUGACAUGUUCCCGACCGCGGCAGAGAUGUCGUUUCCCUUCGGGGCGGGUUCACAGGUGGUGCAUGGUCGUCGUCAGCUCGUGUCGUGAGAUGUUGGGUUAAGUCCCGCAACGAGCGCAACCCUCGCCCUGUGUUGCCAGCACGUCAUGGUGGGAACUCACGGGGGACCGCCGGGGUCAACUCGGAGGAAGGUGGGGAUGACGUCAGAUCAUCAUGCCCCUUACGUCCAGGGCUUCACGCAUGCUACAAUGGCCGGUACAACGGGAUGCGACACGGCGACGUGGAGCGGAUCCCUGAAAACCGGUCUCAGUUCGGAUUGGAGUCUGCAACCCGACUCCAUGAAGGCGGAGUCGCUAGUAAUCGCGGAUCAGCAACGCCGCGGUGAAUGCGUUCCCGGGCCUUGUACACACCGCCCGUCAAGUCAUGAAAGUGGGAAGCACCCGAAGCCGGUGGCCUAACCCUUUGUGGAUGGAGCCGUCUAAGGUGAGACUCGUGAUUGGGACU